rnacentral:rRNA from 1 species
UACGUAGGGCGCAAGCGUUGUCCGGAAUUAUUGGGCGUAAAGAGCUCGUAGGCGGCCUGUUGCGUCCGCUGUGAAAUCCCGGGGCUCAACCCCGGGCCUGCAGUGGAUACGGGCUGGCUAGAGGCAGGCAGGGGAGAACGGAAUCCCUGGUGUAGCGGUGAAAUGCGCAGAUAUCAGGAGGAACACCGGUGGCGAAGGCGGUUCUCUGGGCCGGUACUGACGCUGAGGAGCGAAAGCGUGGGGAGCGAACAGG